AGCGAUAGUCUUCAAUGGCCCGACGAAGCCAAGCAUUCAUAAUGCUGAUGUCCCAGGUUCAAGUCCCGGUGUAGCCACCA
rnacentral:tRNA from 1 species